GAUGAACGCUGGCGGCGUGCCUAAUACAUGCAAGUCGAGCGAACGGACGAGAAGCUUGCUUCUCUGAUGUUAGCGGCGGACGGGUGAGUGACACGUGGAUAACCUACCUAUAAGACUGGGAUAACUUCGGGAAACCGGAGCUAAUACCGGAUAAUAUUUUGAACCGCAUGGUUCAAAAGUGAAAGACGGUCUUGCUGUCACUUAUAGAUGGAUCCGCGCUGCAUUAGCUAGUUGGUAAGGUAACGGCUUACCAAGGCAACGAUGCAUAGCCGACCUGAGAGGGUGAUCGGCCACACGGGAACUGAGACACGGUCCAGACUCCUACGGGAGGCAGCAGUAGGGAAUCUUCCGCAAUGGGCGAAAGCCUGACGGAGCAACGCCGCGUGAGUGAUGAAGGUCUUCGGAUCGUAAAACUCUGUUAUUAGGGAAGAACAUAUGUGUAAGUAACUGUGCACAUCUUGACGGUACCUAAUCAGAAAGCCACGGCUAACUACGUG
rnacentral:rRNA from 1 species